CUCCAUUAACUUUCAAACACCCUGGUGGGUGGUUCGGGUUCAAAUCAUAAAACCAAAUUCCAUAAUAAACAUUGGAAUAUAAAAUAUGUUAUUUCAUAACAAUCAUCAAUAUUUUCUAGAAAACGACUCUGGUGCAUGAGUGCACUGGUUACAUGUGGCAUGUUGUUAUUGACUAAUAUAAAUUAAUUAUAAAAAUAUAAAGGUUGAACACUUAAAUAUUGAUUAAUUAUAUUCAUGAUCAUCAAUAAUAAUUUAAAACAUCUGCAUGUAGCCGAUUGACAUUUCCAUUUUAUUUAACAUUUUAUCCAAUUAAUUAAUUAAUUUGUUUAAAAUCACACAUAUAUAUCUUCGUCUUCUCCACGGAAGACGCCUUCUUCAUAUUCUUUUUUUAAUCCCAUAACCUUCGGCGAAAAUUGACCCGUUCUUCCUCUUCUAUUUUCUUAACCGCAUAGUUGCAAUGCCGGCAACAACUGUUCCCCUGUCAGGCAUCGACCAAGAUCGGACCUCCAUCCCUACCCGGUGAUGAAGACAAACGGCUUCCCUAUCGAUCUGAGUUUUAUGUAGUUAGUACAUAUGCAUUGAUCCCAUGAUCAAGAAUUUUGAUUUCUACAUCUGAAUCUAGCCCAUGAACAAGGAUUUUGAUUUAUUUCUCCGGCGUCUUUUUAUCAACGAAUAUGAAAUGCUAUUAUAAACAAAAUGCAAAUUGUACACAGAGAAGAGGAUCCAAAACUUGAUGAACUUACCUAGAGAAUGUACACAGGGGAGCAAAAGCGACCUCCCACCCAAAAACUGUUCAUCAAGACCAAAGCUCAUCUGACACCUACCCCAACAGCACUUCAAACACAGAGAGCAAGCACCCAAAGCCUUAUCCCAGAACAGAGCAUCCACCCAAGAGAAGAAACAAAAUUGUCACAGAAAUCAAAAAAUAAGUAAAUCCAAACCCACUGCAUACCGCAACUGGAAAAAACGUCACUAAUCCGGAGCGAGUGAAGACCAAAGAACACCCAACCACUCCACACAAGCCUGCUGCGACACCGAACACUCUGCGACACCGAACACUCUGCCACCACCCAACUCAUGACAGCAACAACAAAACGGUAAGCAAGACUAUAAGGCGAGAGCGAGAAGUCUUCUAUUUAUUAAGCGACCAUGUUGUGUUUUGGGCUAAAAUUAAGUAUUGGCCCAACAUGUUUUAAUAUUUUAAUUGACUGGCUAAUGAAUAAAUGCCAUGUGGCAUGUGUAUCCAAAGUCUCUGUCAUAUUUUCUAAUAUGCAUAUUACAUAAAGAAAUCAUUUUUAUGUAAUCCUAACACACAUGUAAUCUUAAUCAUAAUAAGUAAUUAAUCAUCAUUAUAAAAUGGAACUCACCAAUCAUAUUAGAUGUAUUAUGAGAUCGUGAGUAUCAUGGUUUUUGUAACUUGUUAUAUACUAAUUAUCAUAUUCGUGAAAGUUAAUUACAUGACAUUAAUUGUUGUACUUAUUCUUAACCUUAUCUAGGGUAUCUUAAUUCUUGCAGGACACGUAUCCUCAAACAACAUAUCAUGAAAAUCGUGGAUGUUUGGGAGAACGUAUCCUCAAACAACAUAUCGUGAAAAUUGUGGAUGUCUAGGAGAUCGUAUCAAUCAGACAACAUAUCGUGCGCACAAUGAUGGCCUGAAUCAUGUGGACAAUAGUCUAGGUAGUGAGUUCAUGCUUUUAAUCCACCUAUUAAUCAUCUAGGUGUGUUGUUCGUGCUCACUGCUCACUCGUCAUGUAGCCUUAUCAUAAUACUAACCUUAACGGUCGAACGUUAUCGUUACUCUAGCAUUCAUAUAUUAGUCCUAGCCUUAUCAAAAUCUAAAGACACAUCACUUUGCACAUAAAUGAAAUGAACAUAAACAUAAUGUAAACACUUAAUCAUAAAAUCAUGUAAGUCAAUCAAAUUAAUAAAGCAUAACCUAACUACACCAACGUAAAUAAUUUACUCCCUUAAACCAACUCAACUUAGAUCCAAUGCGAGGAAGCAACGUGAAGUUGGAGACUUGAUCGUCUUUAUGAACCUAUUGACGAGGAACUUCGAUUAAAUUAAAUUCUAAUGAAAAGUGAAAUGGACUUGGGUGACAACUUGAUGACUUGAGAAAAAUCACUUCAUAAUCGAUUAUAAAGUGAGAGGAAAUUAUUCAAUUUAAUCUAUUAACUCCUAGUGAAAAGUUUUCAAUUUCUUUUACAUAGAAUGAGUCAUAUCAAUUAACCGUUAGCCAAUUCUAACCAACAAUAUCUUUAUCAUACUAAACUUUCACUAAAUUAUAUUAUCAUUUUAUAAUCUUAUCAAUACUAGUACAUUAAUUUUUACAAAAUUAAUUCUAGCAAUUAAUCCAUUUAUCAACUCAUAAUCCAAUUAACCUUCCUAAAAUGAAUUCUAAUAACGUAAUUUGAAUUAACUAAAACUUAUUAAAUUCUAAUUAUUUUCAAUUAAUCAUAUUUUAAUUUAUUUCAAUAUCAAACUACCUAAACAUCUAUUAAAAAUACAAUUUAAUAUUUAAUUGAAAUCCUUAUCAUAUAACAAAUUACUUAAUCUGUAAUUAAUUAAUUUAUUAUCAUCCUAACAACUUAUACAUAUAUAAAAUAUAUCAAUCCCAACCUAUAAUUCUUUAACCCAUAGUUUAUUUAAAAGAUGGAAACUUGAUUAUUCAGACCGAUCGAACCCAUUGGAAUGUCUGUUGGGUAUAUUCCGUCAUAAACAGAAAGUUACAGGCCGCGACAGAAGUAAGACAAAGUUGAUGUCUGAACUGUCCGAUUCUAACAGUUUGGUACAACUAACAUUAUUUCUAGAAAUUCAGGUACUUAAUAGAAUUACUGGAAAUCCAGUGAUCAAAACGUGAGCACUUAGAUUUCCAGGGGCUAUCACCACAACUUUCCCCAGUCAACUUUGCCGUUGACCCCCUCUGAAACCCAGAUACCGGCUGGGGCGCCUCCGGCAUCCAGCAAUCUCCUAAGUUCAUCGAACCUAUACUAAAACUGAAAAUAAUCAUAGCUUAAGGCGUCUGACCUUGGUACAAAGCUAUCCUACGCACCAGGAUCCUUCAAGGCGGCCUGGAAUCGAUCAACCGUGACCUCGCAACGCAUCAACGCUUCAGAUUCAAAACUCGAUAAAAGGGUCUGAGAAAAAAUCCUUACCUAAGCGACGCAUCAAUGGACUCUCGACUAAAGAGAACUGAGCUUGGAGGGCUUUGGCCGGAAUUGAUCGUCAAGAGCCGCUGCCGCGAUUUUCGUUAAUCGAUCGGUUUGAGGCGGCACAACUCCGAGAAAACGAUUAGGGUUAAUAUUCGAGUCUUUAUACUAACAAAAGAGAAUUGAGGUUGCGAUGAAUUCAAAACGGAAAUCGUGUGAAUGUCGCUCGGGAUUCUGGGAAAGGAAGGGGAUGAUAACCACGCGCUAAAUUCAAAGAUUGGAAGUGUUGCUGGAAUUAUGAGAUGAAUCAAAGCCAUCAGAUCGAUCUUGC
rnacentral:lncRNA from 1 species